AUUGAACGCUGGCGGCAGGCCUAACACAUGCAAGUCGAACGGUAACAGGAAGAAGCUUGCUUCUUUGCUGACGAGUGGCGGACGGGUGAGUAAUGUCUGGGAAACUGCCUGAUGGAGGGGGAUAACUACUGGAAACGGUAGCUAAUACCGCAUAACGUCGCAAGACCAAAGAGGGGGACCUUCGGGCCUCCUGCCAUCGGAUGUGCCCAGAUGGGAUUAGCUAGUAGGUGGGGUAACGGCUCACCUAGGCGACGAUCCCUAGCUGGUCUGAGAGGAUGACCAGCCACACUGGAACUGAGACACGGUCCAGACUCCUACGGGAGGCAGCAGUGGGGAAUAUUGCACAAUGGGCGCAAGCCUGAUGCAGCCAUGCCGCGUGUAUGAAGAAGGCCUUCGGGUUGUAAAGUACUUUCAGCGGGGAGGAAGGGAGUAAAGUUAAUACCUUGACUCAUUGACGUUACCCGCAGAAGAAGCACCGGCUAACUCCGUG
rnacentral:rRNA from 1 species